rnacentral:rRNA from 1 species
UACGAGGGGAGCAAGCGUUGUUCGGAUUUACUGGGCGUAAAGGGCGCGUAGGCGGCCACGACAAGUCACUUGUGAAAUCUCCGGGCUUAACUCGGAACGGUCAAGUGAUACUGUCGGGCUAGAGUACAGAAGGGGCAACUGGAAUUCUCGGUGUAGCGGUGAAAUGCGUAGAUAUCGAGAGGAACACCUGCGGCGAAGGCGGGUUGCUGGGCUGAUACUGACGCUGGAUGCGCGAAAGCCAGGGAGCGAAGCGGG